rnacentral:rRNA from 1 species
UACGAAGGGGGCGAGCGUUGUUCGGAAUUACUGGGCGUAAAGCGUGCGCAGGCGGUUUUGUAAGUCUGUCGUGAAAGCCCCGGGCUCAACCUGGGAAUUGCGAUGGAGACUGCAAGGCUUGAAUCUGGCAGAGGGGGGUAGAAUUCCACGUGUAGCAGUGAAAUGCGUAGAGAUGUGGAGGAACACCGAUGGCGAAGGCAGCCCCCUGGGUCAAGAUUGACGCUCAUGCAUGAAAGCGUGGGGAGCAAACAGG